AACGAACGCUGGCGGCAUGCCUAACACAUGCAAGUCGAACGAGACCUUCGGGACUAGUGGCGCAUGGGUGGGUAAGGGGGGGGAACCUGCACUUAGGUUCGGAAUAAUUCCCCGUAGGGGGUGCUAAUACCGGAUAAUGUCUUCGGACCAAAGAUUUAUCGCCUUUGGAUGGGCCCGCGAUGGAUUAGCUAGUUGGUAGGGUAAAAGCCUAUCAAGGCGACGAUCCAUGGCUGGUCUGAGAGGAUGAUCAGCCACACUGGGACUGAGACACGGCCCAGUCUCCUACGAGAGGCAGCAGUAGGGUAUACUAGACAAUGGGCGAAAGCCUAGUCCAGCAAUGCCGCGUGAGUCAUGAAUGCCUUAGAAUUGUAAAGCUCUUUUACCCGGGAUGAUAAUGACAGUACCGGGAGAAUAAGCACCGGCUAACUCCGUG
rnacentral:rRNA from 1 species